GCCAUAGCUCAGUUGGCAGAGCAUCUACUGUACAUGCAGAAGGUGCCAGAUUCAAUCCCUGGUAGGACUG